rnacentral:siRNA from 1 species
UGGGAGAUUAUUCCGCUACGUACC